rnacentral:tRNA from 1 species
AGUUAAUGAACUUGUACAAGUAUAUAUUUUGAAAAUAUAAUAAAGAGAAACUAAUCUCUAUUAGCUU